ACCAUGAGGGCACGCACCCUGUCCGUCUCCACUGCUGAACCCCCAGCUCUUAUACAUAGCUGGGCACCGAGAGAUACCUUAUAAUAUAGCUGAAUGAUGAACGAGUGAAGUCAUGAAUAAACCUAAUAUAAGCGCAGAGCGGGGCGGGGUGGGGAGUUGGCUGAAAAACACUUUGAAAAUAAUCUAAUCUACAUCUCUCUUUUCUACUCUAUAGUAAGAAAAGAAACAGGAGCUGCAGUGUUAGAACACAGUUAUCCUAACUAGGGCACUCUCUAGUGCCAUAAUGAGGAUCUUUGGUCACUGUAAGGCAAGCAUCCCAGAGGGGCUCUGAUGCCACGCCCGGUUCAAGUUGGAGAACAGGACACCCACACCCAGAAGGAUCCAGCUAAAUAAAACUUCAGCGUCAGUUGAUGAUAGAAAUAGAGAGUUGUGUGCUCUGUUAGCCCUCACUUUGUAACAUUUUUCGUCAGAUGAAGUUAAGACAAAUCAAUAUUUCUUCCUCUACAAUACAGGCUGACAUUCUGAUUUGGAAAUCUUCAUUGAAGAAAUUUGGCUUAUAUUCUUGGAAACUUCAGGCUUGCAUAACACUUUGACUUCUAGCUUAAUUCUUGUGGAAUCUUGAGGUUCAGGCCCUUCUCGUCAAGUUCUUUCUGUGGCCCAGCCAAACCUUGUGCAUCCUUCCAGCCCAGCUUAAGCCUUCCUUCCUCUGUGAUGCCUACUGCCACAGUGAUCUUGUCCUUCUACCUGCUCCUCAGAACUUCAUUGUCUUUUCCACUCACCUGGUGCCUAAUCGACUGUACUGCCUUGUCAUACCCUUUGUAUUUAGUCAGAGCAUCUGUUUCAACCAGCUUGUAACCACCUUCAGACGGGAGGCCCAUAGUGCCUAAAACAGUAAUAAUAAUAAUAAUAGUAAUAACCAGCAUUUAUUGAGUACUUACCAUAUGCCAGGCCCUAUUCUAAGAGCUUGUUAUGGAUGACUUCAGUUAACUUUCACCCAUUCAAAGGGGAUAAUGCUGUUACAAUCCCACUUUCCAGAUAAGGAAGCAGAAGACCAGGGGAGUUGGGUCAGUUAGCACAGCCAGGAUUUAAACUCAAGCACUCUGAGAGCAGAGCCUGAGCCACCCUCAACCCCUACACUCUGCCGUGGCACUGGGGGUUCAGUAGUUGCUCAAUAUAGCUUUGUUGAAUGAAUGAAAACAUGGAGGCUUGUCCUGUGCAGGAGAGAAACCUCCAGAGGAGGCCCUGUUCUGUUACACUUACAGCUUUGCUGUUUGCCAUCACUACUUGCACAUCAUUGCUGUUGUUUCAGGAGCAAGAUCCUGUGUGGUCCAGGAGGGAAAAGAGGUUAGGAAGUGAGAUGCCCACACCUCUCUCCUGCCUUCCUCCCUUGCAGGUUGGGCAGCGAACAAGUUGGGGCAGCUCUUCUUCCUACCACCCCUUGCUCUCAGAGCUAGCCAGCAACCUGGAGCAGGGAGAGGUAGAAAGGAAGGCAUGGGGGGCAGCGACAGCUUCAGGAUCACUGGUUCCUGGGGCCCUUGCCUUCUGAGGCUCAGUCAACCGGAUGUUCCUUUAGCUUGCCGGAAUUUGGCCGGAUUUACAGAGAUAAGAUCAAUCUGACCCUUAAUUCCUUAAAUGUAAUUUAUGGGCUUGCCUCCUGUGUGCCACAACACGUCUGGCUAUCCAAAAUCUGGUAAUUAUUUAUGUAAACACAGGAUCCUGCCUUUGUGGAUUAUAAUUGGACUUGAACAGCAAGAAGCAGGGACUUAUACAGUUGGGGCUGCACUGAAACCCUUCUUUUGAAAAUACUCACCUGAGCCUUUGAAAUCUUCCCUGUGGCUCAUGGAUGGCUUUAACCAGACCAAAAAAAACAUUCUUUUCUCCUCCUCCUGCAGGCCUGGGCAAAUUUGUUCCCAAACACCACCAGGUUUUCUAGGUCCUUUCAGAGGAUGGGCUGAAGAUACCCCAUCAUCUGGACUGGACUGAGAGGACAGGUGCCCUGGGAGGGAGCCUCCAUGGAUCUCCUCAUGGUCUGUUGGGACACGAAUUUUUAUACCCCCUCUAAGAAGAAACAGGAUUAGGAAUUUUAUGCUGUUUGGAAAAGAGGAGAGGUGGCUGGCACAAGAGAAAGAUCUUUGUUUUUUAUUCAUGCUGUGAGUUUCCCAGGAGCCUUUGCUGUACAUACACACACAAGAGCCAGGAGGAUUAGAGGAAAGAAAAUGAGUUGAUUGAACCAGAUGGUUCAGGAAGCACUCCCAGGAGGCUGCUGGGAUGGAUGAAUCCGUGUCUUUAAAUAACAUUAAUUUCAGAAAGGCCCAAAUUGUUUCCUAAAUUACUACACUGAACUUUUACCUUUCAUCUGUUUUUAUGGCACCUCUCUGGUUGAAGGCAGGAGCUACUGCUUUCUGACAAACCAGCUUUGGAGAAAUCCGUCAUCCUUGGUGAAGCUGGUAAGGAAUUGUUUUCCUGGAGGAAAAAGAAAUCCUUAAGAAUCCAAGUGCUUUGAAAAACAGAUUUAGGCAGAAACAAGCACCCCUGGGUGAUCUGAACAAGCUACCAAGUUCUAAUGCCAGCUGAGACACUCAUUUCCUCAGUGGCUGGGGGCAAACCACUUAACCUCAGUUUCCCCAUCUGUAAAAUGGGGUUAAUAAUGCUUACCUGCUGCAGGAGUGCUGUGAGGUUUUAAUUGGGUAAUGGCUGUGGAGCCCUUUGAUGUAGUAAGUUUUAUUAACUUGUAAGGGGUUCCCUGAGGCCAGAAAAAGCAGUUAAACCCAAGAGAGAGAAGAAAGGCACUGAAAGGAAAGCAAAGCUCAGCUAAGUGUUUCACCUCCAGCUCCAAUUUCAGAAGUGUGGAGUCCAGCUGCUCCACUGUGAGUGGAAAGCAGUGACUGGGGCUGGGGACUGUCUGAAUAGCAUCGGGGGAGGGAAAGCUUCAGGGUCAUCUCAGAGGGAGCUUGGCUUUCAGAUUUGUGAAGGGUAAAGGUAAGCAAGUAGUCUUGCUUGAUCAAACCAGGAUCAUUCUCUGGCCCCACUGAGGUUCUUUGCUAAGAACCUUCUCCAGUAAGAGAAUUACUUUGCUAUUAAUCAAGGUCCUUGUAAUUGAAUUUAGAAACCCCUAGCCUCUGGCCUCCUGUUUCCCAACAAUUAAAAAGAGAACUGGCCUCUAGCCAGGGUUGCUGACCAGAGAAGAGUUGGAAGGACAGCACCAACCAAAGGUUAGAAAACUGGGGAGUUUUCCAAGCUCCACCAUUCACAGCUAGGCAGACCAACCUAGACUGCUCGGCCAGCUCUGUGCUUCAGUUUCCCACUCCAUAAAAUUGAUUGCCGUUAAAGCCCAAAUAAUUAAGAUUUGGAACGUGAAAUGCACUAAAAUGAUAAAGAACAAACCCCUACUCGCCUUUCAGUAAGUUAAAAAAAUCAAUUAUUUGAAUAAUUUUACUCCAAGCCAACUCAUUCAGCAUGAGAGACCCCAUGCUCCUCUUCCUCCUGUCUAACUUUUGUUGGGUGCCCACCACACAGCCACGGUCAUUCAGCAUCAGCUACAUGAACACAGCCUAGGAGGGUAAUCAACUUGUCCUGGUUUGCCUAGACUAUCCUCGUUUUAGCUCUGAAAAUCUCAUGUUCCAGGAGCCCCUCCUAAUCGCAAGCAAACUGGGAUGGUUGAUCACCCUAACAUGUCCUUGGGCUAGUUGGAAAGUGCUGGCUACAGUUCCUGUCAAGCAGUUAUUGACCUACCACAGGCAUAUCUUAGGAAAAGGGGCGCAGUGGUGUGGCAGAGGUGAAGGAGUCCUAUGAUCCAGGCUGUCAUUCCUGGCUCUGCCUCUCUCUACUGACUUCAGAUCAGACCCGUGGCCUCAGUUUCCUCACCUGCAAAGGGAGGUGGUGUGACAUGAUGCCUUUUCACCUUUCCUCCAGGAGACAUGGCUGCAAAGACACGCCCAUCAACUUGCCCAGCCCCAGGGGGGAUGCUGUGUGCUUUGCAAUAAGUGGCAAAACACACAGCGUCGGGACACACUGGGGACCAAAGUCCAUCCCGGCUUGUGGGAUUCAGCUCCUUGGUGUCCACUGAUUCCUUUAAUGCUCUUUCUUUGUGAGAAGGAAGCACAUGGGUGGGAAUGUGUCAGCCCUCAACUAACCCUCUGAGUGUUGUACAUAUCUCUUUAGAUCACUUUUCUUCCUAAAAUGAGCACAUUAUAUCCCUGAGAUCUGAAACUUGACUUUUCCAAGACUGUGUUCAAGUUUGGCAAAAUGAGCACUGAGUCCAAAAAUUAAAGUAAUUUAAAAGACCCACUGUUUCCCUUAUCAUAAUUUAGGCUACACAUUUUUAGUAUGGUUUUCUAUUCCUGUGUUUUAUUUUACAAUAUAAAGAAAAAUACCUGCUGUAAAGGAAGUAAAAUUCUAUAAAUUAUA